rnacentral:lncRNA from 1 species
UGAUGAACAACUCCACACACAUUUAUUUUUAUUUUUAUUGUGCAGCAAUUCCUUUUUUCCUGGGAUAUUAAUAAUCGACCAACCGCCGAGGUCGAUUUUACAAGUACGAGAUAUGAUGGUUCACCAUUAUUGUUCCCGUUCUAACUAGCUGAUCUCUACGUCCAACAGCAGCAGUUUCCGUCCUUGCCGGUGUUGCAACUUCCACCCUUGAUGAAGCCCGCGUUCUUGCACCAGUCGUUGCAGUACGGGUACAACCGCCAGCACGCUUGGAUGCAGACGGAAUUGGCCGCCCCUGUGUGUAUAUAUAUGUACCACAAAACAAUUACAACAAUAUAAUCCACUUGCGUGUUGGAUGUUCGUUUAAACUCUUCUCCUUAAUAUAAUGAUAUAUAAAUCUUUUACGUAUUAUUCGACAAAAAAAAUAUAUAUUUGAGGCAUGCGUACCAUAGGAUGAAAGGGUAGUGACGAUGAGUGCGACGACGACGAGGAUCCUGCAGACGACGGAGGAGAAUGAUGCGGCCAUAUGGACGUUUUGGAUUGGAAACGGUGAAAGUCGAUCUUGGGGGAGUGGC